rnacentral:rRNA from 1 species
AAGUAUUUUCUGCCCAAUGAUUAGUAUUUAAAUGGCUGCAGUAAUUUGACUGUGCAAAGGUAGCAUAAUAAUUAGUCUUUUAAUUGUGGACUGGAAUGAAAGGAUAGAUGAAAAAUAGUUUUUAUUAUUUUUAAUAUUAAAAUUUUAUUUUUAAGUAAAAAAGCUUAUUUAUUUUUUUGGGACGAAAAGACCCUAUAGAAUUUUAAUAUUUUCUAUUAUUUAUUUUUUUGAAGUUCUUUUUUAAGUAAUUACAAAAUUUUUUGGUUGGGGGGAUAGAUAAAAAUUUAAACUUUAUUUUUUUUAUUCAUUUAAUAGUUGAUAAUUUUGAUCCAAUAAUUUUGAUUAAAAGAAAAAAUUACCUUAGGGAUAACAGCGUAAUUAUAGUGGGGAGAUCAUAUUUAUAUUAUAGUUUGCGACCUCGAUGUUGAAUUAAGAAAAGUUUAAGGGGUAGUUUCUUUAUAUACUAAGUCU